UUUGGCUCUGGGGCGCCAAUACAUGGCUUCGAACCCUGUCAGGUCCGGAAGGAAGCAGCAGUAAGAAGAUCUUUGUAUGUGGCGUUCCCGGAGCCAUCUUU
rnacentral:SRP_RNA from 1 species